GAUAGUUCAGUUGGUAGCGCAUGACAUUCUUAAUCUCAGGGCUGUGGGUCUGAGCCCCACGUUGAGCA